rnacentral:lncRNA from 1 species
UCUCUCUCUCUUUCUCUCUCUGUCUCUCUCUCUCUCUCUUUCUUUUUGAGAAACAAAUAAUUUGAGCUCUCUCUCUCUCUCUCUUUCUCUCAUCUAUGCCCUAGAAUGAUAGAUUCGUACAACAUCUUGCUUGGAUACCGGAGCUAGUUUGGCCAGUUAAAUUUCCAUAAUAUUUAAGGAUGGAUAUUUGUUUUCAAAGGGAAACUACUGUGCUCACUAGGCAGUGUAUUUGUAGCUGUGCUUCUUAUUGAGCAUUCACCAUUUUUCCAUCUACUUUGCUCACUAGGGAGUGUAUUUGUAGCUAUGCUUCUUGGUGAGUAUCCACCAUUUUUCCAUAAUUGAUUGUCAAGUUUGGACGGUGUAUAAAGAAUGUAUUUAUGGUGUCUCACUUUGUGACUGAGGUACGGAUUGCGAUUGGUGGUAUCUUUUAAUCAACUUGGACAUAAUGUAUUUCUGAUUACUUUGGAUUGUCAACUGUCAUAAAAUAAAGUCAGACGUCAUAGGAGCAUGGAUUAAAAUUUAAAACGGAUUCCUCUUUUGCUAAAGCUCUGCUCAAGAGAUCAGCAAUUUGAUCCUUACGUGUUACAAUGGGUGUUGAAAUGAGCCCAGGACAAUUUCUUCCUGAACCGGUUUACCAAGAUGUGCUUUAAUCUCUCAUGAAAUGUAGAAUUGGUUGCGAGAUCAAUAGUUAGGUUAGUGUCACUGGUUCCUUGCGCUCAAUUCCUUCGUCUUGGACAAAUAAGUUCAUGCUGCCAAAUCCAUAGCCUAAUGCUCUGAAUUGACCUUACAACUAUGUUCCCUCCCAUAGUGGAUUUCUUUCUUGUGGGCAUCUGCCCUGAUCGACAUUGUUAUAUCUAGAUUGCCUUGAAACUUAGCAUAUGAUGUAUAACAUCGGAUAUGUGUUUUUUCUAGGAUCAUCUAUAAAAUUGUAUCCAAAAGUCAAUGUCAGGUGUGAUGAUGGCCUGGGGCCUUUACAUUGAUUUAUAUAAUUUUGAAGCUCCAAAACUCUAACUUUGGGUGGGAUGUCAACAAGAAUUGCCCAACACUUUAACUCAUUCAAAUGAAGAUAUUUGAUCUAUCUAUCCUAAGGAGGUUUAAGAGUCUAACAAAAGGAAACCAACUACUCAAAAAAAAAAAAAAAAAAAUCAAAAUAGACUCAAUUUUCCUUAUUUAAUGACCAACUGUGGGCCUUAUUAAUUUUUCCUUUUUUUUUUUUUAAAUAAUUUGUUCCACUUUGGCAAACCUAGGUAUCUCACGAAGGGAUGAAUCUUGGAUUUCAACUCUCUUUUCGGGUUGCCCCUUAUUGCAUGCCUCUUCUCCAUGGAAGUCCUCAUCCUGCAAGCGUGGGAGGCAUUUUGAGGGAUCACUUAAGCAAAGUGUUGAUUACCUUCCCAGGGCCUUUUCAUGAGUGUGACUUGAAUGAAGCCCGGCUUGGGUUUUAUUCAGUGGGCUUAGAAACAUCGACUAAAAGUUGGACGAUGUUGUGCUAUAGAGGGCGUCUGCCAAUGUUAUGGCUUGGGGAAGUUGACAGGGACCUGUCCUUGGCGUCUUCAUAAUGGUUUUGAAGAAAUAUGGGCAGUGUUUCAAAAAGCGUUAGGCGGUCCCCAAGUGGCCAUGGGGGUUCAGGCCGCCUAGCGCCUAGGUGGGCGCCCAGAACCUGGGUGGCCCAGUUGAAAAAAAAAAAAUAAAAAAAUAAAAAAAAAAAAUAAAAAAUCUAAGACCAUAAUCGCAGUAGUUUGAUAAUCCAUUAGACCAUAAUUCAUAUUUUUCAUACAAUACUAAAACAGUAAAACCAUACAAGCAUACACUGAUAGUCUGAUACGCUGUAGACUCCACACACAAAAGUUAGAUUGUAGAACUAGAAACUAGAAAGUAGAAACUAAAAAUAAGAAAAAGAAAAUAUGCAAAAAUUCAGAAAAUAUACAGACACAAUAGUCAACACUCAACACAACAGUCAAUAGUCGACACUCAACACAAUAGUUAAUAGUCAACACUCAACACCAAGAGUCUUCAGUCGUCAUCAUCAUCAUCAUCAUCAGAAGGAAUAGGGUCAGCUUCAUCAUAUGCAUCAAAAUCGAGGCCAUCAUCAUCAGAGUCACCUCCCUCUUCAAUAUAAGACUCGUUCUCAUCUGUUUCUUCUGAAUCUGCCUCUUCCUCCUCUUCUUUUACCUCCCUCUUACUAGUAUGUGUAGAUGAGGCCCUAGGAGUCUUGGCUACUCUACCCUUUUCUAUCUUUUUGUGCUUCCCUGAACUCAAAUAUUAUAUAAUUUCCUCCCUGGUAGCCUCAAGAACAUUUUUACAUGGGGCAACAUCCCCCUUAAUACCGGCAAGGUGUUUUUUAAACCGGUAAAUGCCCCCAUUAGUAUCUUUUUCACAAUAAUUAUAUUUAAUACGAUUUUUGUCAUUCGGAUUCGGGUUAUAACUAUACUUCCAACCUGGAUCAUCACUUCUAGAAGAACCUAGAGAAGAUAUUUCUGUAGAACAAGGCUCAUUUUCAUCAUUUUCUGGUUCUUUUAAAUUCAGAAGUUGUCUAAUCUCAUCCUGAAUAGCUUCAGGAACCUUUUUACAAGAAGCAACAUUCCCUUUAAUGCCAGCAAGGUGUUUCUUGAAUUGGUUAAUACCCCCAUCGGUAUCUUUUUCACAAAAAUUACACUUUAUAUAAUUUUUAUCAUUUGGUUUUGGGUUAUAACCAUACUUCCAACCCGGAUCACUUCUUCAAGAAGUAGCAGAAAUAGAUCUAUUCAAAUGACAAGGAUUUUGUUCCCGUUUUUGUUUUACAAAACUCAUAUAUUGCUUAAUCUCUUCUUUGAUAACUUCAGGAGCAUUUUUACAAGGGGCAAAAUCCCCUUUACUACCGGCAAUAUGCUUCUUAAACCGGUUUAUUCCCCCUUUCGUAUCUUUUUCACCAAAAUUUCAUCUAAUACAAUUUUGUCAUUUGCAUUCGGGUUAUAUCCAUAUUUCCAACCCGGAUCUCCACUUUGAUUAGAUCCUGAAGAAGACAUCUCAAAAUAAAACAAGCAAUCUAAAAAAUAAAUUUUUGCACUUAUUUUGAUUGCUCGAACUCUAAACUACCACCUCUGAGAUGUUUUUUGUUGCUAAAAUAAUAAAAAACACCCUCUAAUAGGAUUAUAAAUCUCCAAAACUAAAUCAAAUCUACUUGGGUGAUGUUUGGGUUCGUUUUUUGUAACUUUGAGAAGCACUUCGAUCCAAUGAAAGUCACAAAAUUUAGUUUUCUUGAGGUUUCUUUCUCUCUAAAAUGGGUUCUUGUGGGUUUAGGUUUGAAAUGAACCUAAAACCCAUCCUUCAAACCCUUUAUAUUUCAAAAAAAAUCAAUACAACUUAAAAAAAACAAAAAAAUUUUCUCCCUUGGACGCCCGCCUAGGUGGGUACUGUACCGCCUAGUCUGCCGCCCAGGGUCAGCCGUCUAGGCCUGGGUGAUGCGCCCAAGCCUUCCGGACCGUCUAGGCGCUAGGCAGUCCCACUUUUUGAAUCAUUGAAUAUGGGCAUGGGCUAGGAGGAAUUGCCCAACACUUCAACUCAUUAAAAUGAAGAUAUUUGAUCUAUCUAUCCUUAGGAGGUUUAAGAGUUUAACAAAAGGAAACCAACUACUCAAAAGAAUAAAAAAAAUAAAAAUCAAAAUUGACUCAAUUUCCUUAUUUAAUGACCAAUUGUGGGCCUUAUUAAUUUUUAAUUUUUCAUUUUUUUUAAAAAAUAAUUUGUCCCUCCUUGGCAUCCCUAGGUAUCUCACAAAGGGACUAAUCUUGGAUUUUAACCCUCUUUUCGGGUUUCCCCUUAUUGCAUGCCUCUUCUCCAUGGAAGUCCUUGACCUGCAAGCGCAGGAGGCAUUUUGAGGAAUCACUUAGGCAAAGUGUUGAUUACUUUCUCGGGGCCUUUUCAUGAGUGUGACUUGAAUGAAGCCAAGGCUUGGGCUUUAUUCAGUGGGCUUAGAAACAUUGACCAGAAGUUGUACAAUGUUGUUGUUAUAGAGGGAGUCUGCCAGUGUUAUGGCUUGGGGAAGUGGACCAAGGACCUGUCCUUGGUGUCUUCAUAAUGGUUUUGAAGAAAUAUGGGCAUGGGCUAGGAGGUUGGAAACCACGUUUCAUCACAUAUUGCCUGAGUCCAAUGAAGAAGCUGAUUCUCUUGCGAAAGAUGGGAGUCUCCCAAAUUGAGUUGACAAUGGCAUUCUUCUAAUAGAAGGUCCAUGUCUAGAGUCUUCUGUUCAUAGAUUCAAUUUUGUAUGGAAAAAGAGAUGAACUAGAACCAUAUUUUUUUAUUUUUAAGAAUUUUUUUUUUUUUAAGGAACCAAGUUGUGGUGGCCGUUGUGUUGCUCUUGAAUACAUUGUUCAAGAAAACGGAAAAGGUUACAAAAAAGAUUGAAGGGAGGGGUGGGGGGAUUGGGAGGUUGGGGGUUUGGUGUUUUAUGAAUUUAUGAUUUUGCAUUAUAUAUGAUAAAUUUAGUGUUUAGUUGAGGGGACAAUUGUAGUUGUGGGGCAUUUGGCAAAAGUACUGGUAAGUUUUCUAGGGGGUUUUCUUGAUAAUGGUAAGUUAAAGGGAUAUUUCUGUAAAUUUCUCAAAAUUUUAAUAUAUAAGUUUUAUUUAUUAAUUAAAUUAUUGUAUGGAAUGCACUUCCAACCUAUGGAGCUUCUACCAUGUGACAAUCCCUCCCUCCCUCCCAUUGCCACUCCCACUUCCAACAACCAUGAAGAACACUCUAUUAAAAGUUUAUAGUCACCUCGUCAAAUACAUAGUAUCAUGUUCUAGAUGAAUAUGAAUGUCCCUAUGGAUGUGUUCCAACUGCACUACAUCCAAGACAACUUUCAUACUUAUCUUCUCAAAUGAACCACUGCAUUCUAAAUUUCUCAAUAAUAACUAUAUAAUAACCAUUUUCAAGGCUUAGGCAAGUCAAAAAAAAUCCCAUGUACUACUUCCAAUUGAAUGUACUACGUUGCUGAGUUAUAUACUCUGUAUCCCAGGUCAUGUCUACUUUAUGCUCUCUUCGUUCGUAUGAUUACGGAAUUUCAUCAUUGAUACUUGAUCCUUGUACAUACAUCAACCACUAUAAUAUAAAUUGCAUGUGUUCGAGGAAAAAAAUGCAAUGAAACCGUGAUUUUUACUACCAUUUUUCUCAUGAAUCCAUAGUGUUCUCUAUUUUACCUAUCUCAUCCAACUGAGACCAGUCUAACCAUAUGGCAUGUGUCUCUUCUGAUUUUAGAUAAUAAUUACUUCCAUUUUUACAUUAUUACAACCUUCUAGCGGCUACAAGAACUUUUUAAUUUAAAAAAGGAUUAAUAUUUUUCUCCUCUGUGGGUUUUACUGACAUGGCUGAAUAAGUCCCAUGUGCAAACUACCAGCUAUGUCUCACAGCUACCACAUCUAGAGCACCAUAUGUCGAUAUCUAUUUUGUGAGGAACUGAACUGCAUCUUAUGCUAUGUCACUUACCAAGAAAGUAUAAUCUUCGGUUAAUCAUGCAAUUGUGUGUACUUUCCAGGGAUUGGUACCCAUUUCUUCCUAUUUCCUAAUAAUUUGAUUCGUAAAUUGAAUUGUACUAAAGUGCCUACAGAUUUGUCUUUUUUCCUUUUUAACUCUCUUUAAGGCAAGUUUUGGCUCACCAGGAUUUCCAUUCCAACAUUCAUGACAGGCCUUGUAAAAUGACGGAAAUCUUGUAAUUUCACUUGCAUAUGCAAUGAUAUUUCUGAUAAUCCAAGAAAUUUUCGUGUUUCUAAAAUACCCAAAAGAUAUAACCAACAUAUUUUGUUGAUUAAAAGUUGAAACCAUGUAUUUGAACUAAGAAUAGCUUUUCAUCCAACAAUUUAAUCUGGAAAUCCUAAUUUGAGUGUAUCAUCUGGACUCAUGUGCAUGCGUGCAUGAUUCUUUUUGCCAUUUGUAUUCCUUGUGAAAUGUGUAUUUCUCUAGAAAAUUGCUUUUGUUCUAUAGAAAUAAAUUUGUUUUUUCUUUUACUUAUCGUCUGUAAGCUGUGUUUUGCUUGGUUUUGGGUUUGCAUGGAUACUGGGGCUAGUUUGGCCAGUUAAUUUUCCAUAAUAUUUAAGGAUGGAUAUUUGUUUUCAAAGGGAAACUACUGUGCUCACUAGGCAGUGUAUUUGUUGCUAUGCUGCCUAGCGAGCAUCCGCCAUUUAUCGAUCUACUGUGCUCACUAGGGAGUGUAUUUGUAGCUAUGCUUCUUGGUGCACAUCCACCAUUUUCCCAUAAUUGAUUGUCAAGUUUGGACAGUGAUAGAGAAGUAUUUAUGGUGUCUCACUCUGUGACUGAGGUACGGAUUGCGAUUGGUGGUAUGUUUUAAUCAACUUGGACAAUAAAAGUAUUUCUGAUUACUUAGGAUUGUCAACUUUCAUAAAAUAAAGUCAGGCGUCAUAGGAGCAUGGAUUAAAAUUUAAAACUGAUUCCUCUUUCGCUAAACCUCUGCUCAAGAGAUCAGCAAUUUGACCAUUUACUUGUUACAAUGGGUGUUGAAAUGAGCCCCAAGGCAAUUUCUUCGUGAACCAGUUCACCAGGAUGUGCUGUGAUCUCUCAUGAAAUGUAGAAUUGGUUGCAAUAUCAAUAGUCAGGUGAUUCUCACCAUGUAAUGUCAUUGGUUCCUUGCGUUCAAUUCCUUUGUCUUGGAUGGCAUUUUAGCCAGAUAAGUUCUUGCUGUCAAAUCCAUUGCCUAAUUCUUUGAAUUGACCUUACAACUAUGUUCUCUCCCAUGGUGGAUUUCUUUCUUGUGGGCAUCUGUCCUGAUCGACAUUGUUAUAACUGAGCAUAUGAUGCAUAUCAUCGAGAUGUGUUUUUUCUAGGAUCAUUUAUAAAACUGUAUCCAAAAGUCAAUGUCAGGAGGUGUGAUGAUGUAGAUUAGUUUGCCUAUCAAACAUCGAUUUUGACCUCGGUUGUCAACUUGUUUUUCUCUUUUCUUAGAAAAUACUUGACUUUUUGCUAUGUUAAACAUCAAAAAAGAAUUCUUAGAAAAUACUUGAUUUUUUGCUAUGUUAAACAUCAAAAAAGAAUAUUUGACUUUUGUUGCAUAAGGAAAUCCGUAUGUGUUUACAAAGUAUAUUAGUUUCUCUAAUAACGUCAAGGGCAUAAGUUUGGUACUUUUCUUGGGUGCACCACCUCUGAAAAUACUUGCAUAUCACAGUAUCUUUGACUUCUAUGUUUCACUUGAAGGUUAUUACUUGACUGAGCAUUCAGGAAGUGAUAGGUGAAUGGGACUCAUUUUGAAGUUCAAAUAAACUCAUACGAGUUCCAUUGAAAGUCAUGUUAGACUUUUAUUGGAAGUUGAGUUUUCAUGGUUCGGUGUAAAUUUAGUGGCUCCUACACAAGUCUAAACAUUAUCUGGUGGGCUUGAGUAGUCUGGGUUUGAUGUGGCAAUUAAGUUCGGGUUGGUGGCAAGCGAAUUGAAAUUUAGAAGGGAGGAAGAAGUAAAAGGAUGCCUAAGUGUAGAGGGAAGAAGCUAGGGAAAUAGAGUUUGGAUGGAAUUGGCGCACAAAGAAGACUUUUUGGGAAGAAAGGCUCGAUGGAUUUUUUUUUAAACUGUUUACUUUUAAGGCCCGAUGGAUUUUAUCAGUACAGAGAGAAGCAGAUGAUUAGGAAGCUUUGGUGAGAGAUUUUUUGAUGAAGAAUGAAGUAGGGUUGGGUGUUUAGGGAAUAAGGCUUUGGAUGGGAUGAUUAUGAACUUACUCAAGGCAAUAUAUGAUGAAACAAAUACUCUGAAAUUCUCAGACCAGGAAAAUGACCCAAAAUUAUACAAUCUGAUUAUUUGUUAGAUUUAAACAAGUGGCAAACAAGGUCUUUCGGCUUGCAAAGCUCAUUGAUUCGUACCAAAUUUUAGUUUAGGGUUUGAUAAAUUGUUUAAUAUUGGUUGUAGUUUUGGUUUUGUGUGAAUUUUGGGCAACUCUCAUUCAAUUUUAAGUUUCAGACUGAUUUAUGUAUGAUUUUGAAGUAGUACAACACACAAAACACCUUAAAAAAAGUUGUCACGAGAUGAUUUUUCAGAUUUAUUUUUUGGCGGAGGGUGGGGGCUGUGGGGGUGGGGUGGGUUGUUGGUAUCCAUCCCAAUACCCCCACCAACAUCCUUGAGGCCCCCAACCCCUGUCCUCUAUGUUUGGGCUACCUAGGUAACUAGUACUAGUCCAGAUGCCAAAUCUGCUUUUUCAACAGUACCAUGAAGGUUUAGGAUGGAUUACAGUCAGCUUCAUCACUCAAAAAAAAAAAAACAAUAAGAAAAGAAAAAAGGGAAAGUAGGGUUUAAAGUGGAGUAGUUGGUUGGCGAGGAAAAAAACCUUGUAGGAAAUUUAUAGGCCAGUUGUAACAGAGGAAGGUUGCAGGGGUGGUGAUUUAGAGUUUAGUUCACGUCAGGUGGCUAAGAGAGCUAAAUAUGUUAAAAGUGUCAUGGGAGGGAGGGAGCACUUAACAAGGUAAGGAAUCGUGGCGUUCAACAACAUGAAAUAGAGGAAUCAAUGCCUCGUAUUGGAAACAACACCAAUAAUGGACAAACUCUCCAUUGGAAACAACGCCAAUAAUAGACAGCAUCUCCAAUUGUAUAAUUUUUAUUUCAUUCUCUGCACAUUUGACCUAGGGCCUUACAUUGAUUUAUAUAAUUUUGAAGCUCCAAACCUCUAACUUGGGUGGGAUGUGAACAAGAAAUGCCCAGCACUUCAACUCAUUAAAAUGAAGAUAUUUGAUCUAUCUAUCCUAAGGAGGUUUAAGAGUCUAACAAAAGGAAAC